rnacentral:lncRNA from 1 species
ACAUCCCAACAGCACCCAAGUAUCUUGUACUACUACUUUUUCAAAACUCAUCUGCCAUCACUUUUAUUACCAAAAUGGCUGAAGAGAAGAAGCACCACUUCGGUCUCUUCCACCACAAGGACAAGGAGGAAGACAAAACUACCUAUGGAGAAACUCCAUAUGGUGGUGAUACUGAAAAAACUACCUAUGGAGAGAAUACAUAUGAAGAGAAAACUAGUUAUGGUGGGGGAGAUAACUAUGGGGAUAACAAAUAUGGUGAGAAAACUGGCUAUGGAGAAAGUGGAUAUGGAGAGAAAACUAGUUAUGGUGAGGGAGGUAACUAUGGAGAUAGUGGCUAUGAAAAUAAGACUAGCUAUGGAGAUAGUGGCUAUGAAAAUAAGACUAGUUAUGGAGAUAGCGGCUAUGAAAACAAGACUGGCUAUGGAGAUAUUCCAUCUGAUACUACCUAUGGAGAGAAAACUAAUUAUGGUGAAGGAGAUACCUAUGGAAAAGGAGCUGCCUACUCAUCUGAGACCACUAAUUUUGAAGAGACUACUGAUGAAGGCAA